rnacentral:rRNA from 1 species
GCAUCUGACCGGCCUUGAAAGAGGCACUCCCUUCGGGGCAGAUGUGUAGGUGCUGCAUGGUUGUCGUCAGCCCGUGCCGUGAGGUGUCGGCUUAAGUGCCAUAACGAGCGCAACCCUCAUCAUUAGUUACCAUCAGGUAAGGCUGGGGACUCUAAUGAGACUGCCAUCGUAAGAUGUGAGGAAGGUGGGGAUGACGUCAAAUCAGCACGGCCCUUACGUCCGGGGCGACACACGUGUUACAAUGGGUGGUACAAAGGGCAGCUACCUGGCGACAGGAUGCUAAUCUCGAAAACCGCUCUCAGUUCGGAUCGGAGUCUGCAACUCGACUCCGUGAAGCUGGAUUCGCUAGUAAUCGCGCAUCAGCCACGGCGCGGUGAAUACGUUCCCGGGCCUU